GACAGAGGUGCCGAGCGUUAGGCGGAAUCACUGGGCUUAAAGCGUGUGUAGGCGGGCGGGCAAGUACCUUGUGAAAUCCCACGGCUCAACCGUGGAACGGCUGGGUAUACUGCCUGUCUUGAGCCAACUAGGGGCGAGCGGAACAGACAGUGGAGCGGUGAAAUGCGUAGAUAUCGUCUGGAACGCCGAAGGUGAAAACAGCGCGCUGGGGUUGUGCUGACGCUGAGACACGAAAGCCAGGGGAGCGAACGGG
rnacentral:rRNA from 1 species